rnacentral:tRNA from 1 species
CCUGGUGGCUCAGAUGGUAAAGCGUUUGCCUGCAAUGCAGGAGACCUGGGUUCUAUCCCUAGAUCGGGA